CUGAUUCAAAGUCGCAUCACGUUCUUGUCCACCUGAACCCUUGAUCAAACCACGUUCUCUGCCAACUGCAUCCAGCUCAUCGAUGAACACCACUGAUGGGGCAUUCUCCCUUGCCUCUUGGUAGAGAGCUCGAACACGGGAAGCCCCAACACCAACAUAUAUCUCAACAAACUGAGACGCAGAAAUGGAGAAGAAGUUCACCCCUGCUUCACCAGCCACCGCCUUUGCUAACAAAGUCUUCCCCACUCCAGGUGGACCACAAAGCAGUAUUCCCCCUGGUAUUUUGACUCCUCGCCUACGAUACAUCUCCCCGUGGGUGAAGAACUUAACAAUUUCCUCAAGCUCCUCCCUAAUUUUUCCAAGCCCAGCAACAUCAGAGAACUUAACAUCAAUACCUCUCUCUAAAUACUGGGGAAGUUUCGUAUUGCGUGCUCUUCGAACACGAGCACCUGACUUCAUGAAUUGCAUAGCCAUCUUCAUAUAAGGAUUAUCCUCUCCUUUCCUUCCUUCUUCUUCGUCAUCAUCAACACCCUCAAUCCCUUCCAUUUCCCUCUCCAAUUCCCUCAGCUUCUUUUUCUCCUCAGCAUCUGCUUUCUCUAUCUUCAACCUGUCAUCGUAAUCUUUUUUCUGCCUCCUAUAGCUAAAUACAACAGUUCUAUAAAAUAUGUAGAAGAAAACCAAACCAAGAGCAGUGGAAACAUUUGAAUCACUAGCCAAGCUUUCCCACACCAUUGCCAUAUCGCGGGAACUUCUAUUCGCUUGACGCAAGGACUCCUCAUACCUCAUUCUCUUCAACUCUCUUUUUCUUUUACUCUCUUCCAUUUUCUUCUGCAUUUUCAUUGCCUUCGCCAUCCUCUCCCUCUCGUUCUGUAUCUUCGCCAACUCCUGCUUUUGCCUUCUCUUCAAUUCUUCCCUCAUCCUCUUCAACUCCAAUGCCUUUUUGGACUGUGGCUUGGCCUUCAUAAAAGAAAGCAACCAAGCUGGAAUAUUUGACAAGAACCCCAAAUAAGGUGAAGGAAGCUCAGGUUUUUUCAAUGGUGGAGUAUAAGCAUUCAUACAAAGUCCAUCAACUUUCAAUUCAUCCCAUUCAGCCCAAAAUCUCGGAUCACUCUCGACAGAAGGUAAAACAAUUCUAACAACCUUGGAAUCCUCUAAAACAGCUAAAACUACCUCAGGCCUUUGCUUUAACCCUACAUUAGGUGGCUUAAUUAUAUGCUUAAGUUUCCCUUCCCUUUUCAAAUCCAAUAUUUCUGUAUAAGGUAACCUAUUGCUCACAGUUGGAAG
rnacentral:misc_RNA from 1 species